rnacentral:rRNA from 1 species
CUACCUUUAUCUGGGGGAUAGCCCGGAGAAAUCCGGAUUAAUACCGCAUAAAAUCACAGAAUGGCAUUAUUCAAUGGUCAAACAUUAAUGGGAUAGAGAUGGGCAUGCGUGUCAUUAGCUAGUUGGCGGGGUAACGGCCCGCCAAGGCGACGAUGACUAGGGGAUCUGAGAGGAUGACCCCCCACACUGGUACUGAGACACGGACCAGACUCCUACGGGAGGCAGCAGUAAGGAAUAUUGGUCAAUGGAGGCAACUCUGAACCAGCCAUGCCGCGUGCAGGAAGACUGCCCUAUGGGUUGUAAACUGCUUUUAUCCGG